rnacentral:misc_RNA from 1 species
GAUGAAGAAUGCAGCAAAAUGCGAUAAGUAAUGUGAAUUGCAGAAUUCAGUGAAUCAUCGAAUCUUUGAACGCACAUUGCGCCCGCUGGUAUUCCGGCGGGCAUGCCUGUUCGAGCGUCAUUUCAACCCUCAAGCCCCCGGGUUUGGUGUUGGGGAUCGGCUCUGCCCUUCUGGGCGGUGCCGCCCCCGAAAUACAUUGGCGGUCUCGCUGCAGCCUCCAUUGCGUAGUAGCUAACACCUCGCAACUGGAACGCGGCGCGGCCAUGCCGUAAAACCCCAACUUCUGAAUGUUGACCUCGGAUCAGGUAGGAAUACCCGCUGAACUUAAGCAUAUCAAUAAGCGGAGGA